rnacentral:lncRNA from 1 species
CCUAGAAGCAAAGUUUUUAGAAUAUGUCUACAUGAACUCGUGUGUUGAUGAGCACUCGAAAUGAUAAGUUUAUUUGUGCAAAAAUAUGUGAUUACGAACGUCAUGUGUUUACAACGAAAGUUUCUGACAUAUUGCAUUUUUUAGAUACUACUGGCUCUGGUAAGUAUUUUCAUACUAUACGUAGUAUGUAUAUUUUGGAAACUAUACUUGUUUUACGAUGAGGGGUUAUUAUGUUUCAAAAAGGUUUUUACAAAGCUUUAUUUUUAGGCCCACCCACCCUUAUUUUUCGUCCCUUUAGGUUUAGCAGCUGAGCUUUCAUAUCGACGAGGAUUCUUGGAAAAUCUGGGUAUAGGAGGUUACCUUCAAUGGUAUAAUUCUCAAUCUACUCUACUGUACUGUACUUGUUCUCUGACAU